ACCAUCUUUUUCUUGGGGUUGCACUACUGUCCAAUAAGCGCAUAGUGAGGACAGUACUGCUAACACACAGCACACCCGCGUCAACUAGAGCUUUGCUUUACAUGGGUGCAAGUUUUAGAAAA